ACGUUGGAUAUAAAUCACAUAGUAGAAGCUUUAGAUAGUGAUUCUGUGUAGUGGGCUUAAGUACAAAGGAGGUUUAUGCAGGGUAUAUCAUAUACAAGAAGGUAAGAAAAAUAAAAGAAAGAUAAAAGCAGAAAUCAUCAGACCAAAGUGCCUGAACAAGAAAAAUGAAAGAAGUACUCUAAUUUAAUUUCAUUUCAUUUGAUAAUGGAUAUUCGGGGCAACGCCCGGGCACAUACUAAUAUAUAUAUAUAUAUAGGAUCAAGAUCAUGUGAGAACCUAGGUUUAUAAUAGAAACUAGGAACUCAUCUGGACCGUUGAUCGCACUCAAUCUAACGGCUCACAUUCCACCCGCCUCAUUAAGGGCAAAAUGGUAAAUUCGCGCUUUCAAUGACUUGCUUCAAUUGAUCUGAUUUUCAUUUCUACUUUCUCUCUCUUCAUUUCAUUUUCUCUCUCUUCCUCUGAAUUCUCUCUAAUUCUCUCUCUUCCUUCGAAUUUUUCUUCGGUCAUCAAGUUUUUUCUCUUUCGAUUUUCUUCAUUGUUUUGAGGGGAAGAGGAGUGUGCUAAACUUGCAGGAGAAAUGAAGCAGCAGCGAAAAGUUGCCUUUAGGAGAUCAUAUAUCGAAAGGAUCACUGAGAUUACAAAGAACAGUCGGAAAUUGGACACAAAUAUUGAUCGCAUUUUGAAGGAAACAAGAGAGCUUAAGUUGGAGAGUAACUAUAUUAAGGAACGCCUUCAUCGUACAUAUGCAGUGGUUGAUGAAACAAUAUUAAGGUGAACACUCUGAAACAAUAUGUACUUUAUGUAGUGGUUUAUGAAACAAUAUUAAGGUCUCAAUAAAAUUUGUGGUGUUUCCUUUUCA